UCCACGCGUUUGUCGUCGAUGGAUGCUCUCUAUUUGGACCGAGUGUUUUCCAUUUUUUUUUCUUGCUUUCCCUUGCCUUCUCACAGAUCUAGAUCUAUGUUCUGUUCUUCUCGACCUUAUCCUUUAUCGAUCUCAGUUUGUGGUGCCUCGCCGAUUACGGCCUGCUCUGUUCCUCUCAAACCCUUGAAAGCAUCGUCGAUCAGAUCUCUGUUUCGAGUUUAUCCAGUGGAUUUUUGUUUUUCAUUCCACUGCUGUCUCUCGAUUUGUAUUGCCUCUCUGAUUCUGGCUUUGUCCGUGUGUGUCCAACGGUAGAAACCGGCUUAAAUCAAUUUUCUGUGCCUUGGUUCUGCUCCUUGGGUCGCUGACCUGGAGAUUCAAUUAUCAAAAUUUUGGUGUUUUCACAUUACUGAUUCGAAUUGGUCGUUGCUGAGAGGAUCAAAUUGCUCAUCAUCCAAGUAUAAAUGCUGCUGUGGAGCUGCUUAAAUGAGGUCCCUUUUCGGUUAUUAAAACUCAAUGUUACCUGCUUUCAUUUCCAAUUUUUAAGUCUUCUAUUUGUUUGCUUGCUGCAAUUAUUCAACUUAGCUGCUAUAACAUUUGUUUCCUUCUGUUUUGUCCUCUGCAUUAACUACCAUUUGGAUCAUGUGAAUGACAACUUUCAUGUAUAUUUCGAAUAAUGAGUAGUUUAUUGCUGUUAAUCUUUUGAUCAACUUCAUUUUUACAA